rnacentral:rRNA from 1 species
CCCUUAGAUGUCCGGGGCCGCACGCGCGCUACACUGAAGGAAUCAGCGUGACUUUCUCCCUGACCCGAAAGGGUUGGGAAACCCGUUGAAUCUCCUUCGUGAUAGGGAUUGGGGCUUGAAAUUGUUCCCCAUGAACGAGGAAUUCCCAGUAAGCGCGAGUCAUAAGCUCGCGUUGAUUACGUCCCUGCCCUUUGUACACACCGCCCGUCGCUACUACCGAUUGAACGGUUUAGUGAGAAUUUUGGACUGGAACUCCCUUGCUCAGCAAUGGGCGAGGGGGAGUCCGGGAAGCUAUUCUAACUGUAUCAUUUAGAGGAAGUAAAAGUCGUAACA